GUUAAUUGACCAAGUCAUGAGUGUCCUCCUGUUACUGUGUUAGCCUUUAGCUCUCCUGUAUUACCUUGUUUUAGAUCCCCUCCUUACAGUACCUUGUUAGAGUAUAGAUAAUUGUUAAAGAGAAGCAGAUAAAUCUAUAUAUGGACUUGAGAAGAUACUUAGAAGUCUGUAAAAACACAAGCCACAUUCAGAACGAUUUCAUGAUUUCCAUCUAUGAAAAGUUUCACGUACAUCCUUGUGUAGAGUAAGUAUUUCUGUUAAGAAGUAAUGGUGAUUGUUUAUAAGAAAUCUUCCUGGAGAUUUAGGAUGACAUGGGGGAUGUUAACUUUCCGUUUGCACUCUUUCGUGCUGUUAGAAUUUUUUUUUUAAGGGCAUAUAUUAUUUUAAAAUUAAAACUCGGCCGGGCAUGAUGUACCUGUGUACUCAUAAUCCUAGUCCUUGACACCGUGAAGCAGAAGAAUUGCUGCAAAUUUAAGGGCCAGCCUGAGUAAGUAAGUUUCCAGUCAGCUUGGCCUGCAGAGUGAGACCCUGUCUAAACAAAAGGAAGAUAAUAAAAUACAAUGUAAAACUAAGCCGACAAACAAGGAAGCUGGCCCACACGCGCUUGCUUGCUGUUUGGAAACAGCGGCCUGGCUUGGUGUCCUUCUCCAACACCUUCCCUGUAAGAGACACUGCAGAGCCACAGGCCAGGAGCAUCCGGGAGACCUGGAGUGGCCUGCAGAACCUGUCACCGCUCAUUCCCUACUCAGGGGAUUGUAACCAAAGCUGGUGGCUUGGGCUUUGCUAGACUUUGAGUGUCAAGGGCUACUAUCUUGAGCUCGCUCCUUGCUUUGGGUGUUUGUGUUUUGUAACAAGCGCUCUAUAUUUAACCUAGUCAGCGGUGACCACAAAUGGUCACAAAGCAGUGCCCUCCUUGUCCCUAGAAAUGAUAACAAUAGAGGUAUUGCUUCUGGCUGUUAUUUCCUGAGCGCCUGCUAAGUGCUAAACCCGGAGCCGCGUACUAAAAUUCGUACACAGAGAUAAGUGUUUUACUCCGUUUCUUCUACGAGAAACAAGGGGCUCAGGGAGCCUUUAUAAUGACGUCACAUACUUACUGAUCACAGUUAACAACGGAGCCACCAGGUAACAGAGGACACCAUUUCACCCCGGCUGGGAAUGCUCGGGGACUGGGAGAGUAGAGCACUUCCUUAAUCUUUGCUCCAAUACACAGGACUUCCAAUCAGCACUUUACCACUGCUCCCACCCCACCCCCAAGUGAAGGUGGGUAGUUGACACGAGUCUCACGAUUUGGAAGUCGUUUUCUGCUGACUUGUGUCUCUGACCUGUGGUACUCAUUGCUGCCCUGGCCCCCGGUUAUCUCUUCUGCAGAGGUGGGACCUGCUUUCCUGCAUCACUAGCAGCAGAAUGGGGCACAGAGAGAGGAGUCACUUGUUCUUGUCCCACCCCAGCUGAAACGGGUGGUUGGAGUUGAGGUCUCUGAUUCAAUCGCGGGGAGUAGGUAUUUUCCAGCUCCAAGAUUCACAAUUCGAGGGGCUCCCUAAAGAUAAGAGCUGGGGACCGAACCCAGGACCUUGCGCUUGCUAGGCAAGCGCUCUACCACUGAACCAAAUCCCCAACCCCGAAUUGACUGUGUUUUACGAAGGACUCACCAAGCCAAGCUUUCUUCAGUCUCUCUCCCUUCCCCUCCCCCUCCUCCUCCCUCUCCCCACCUCUUUCUUUCUCUCCCACCCCCUCCCUCUGUCCCUUCUUUACCCGUUCUUCCUCUCUUCAUCUUGGUGACAGGGUUAGGAGAGAAAUCCUCGUGUGAAACACCACAUGACUUCAGCACCAACCUCCGUCAUCAGGAGUUUGCGCUCGGCCCUCCAAGCCUUCUCUGUCAGGCGUGUCUGAGUCUCUCUGGGAUGCAGACGUUUGCUGUAGUCGGAAAGCAGCUUGAAUCACAUCGACAGAACUCCCAGCAACUUAGAACCUCCUGGAAUUCACGGAGCAGCCUUGAAACUUUGGGAGUCACUGAACCAUUGCAACCUCGAGUGUGUGGGAAGAGGUUGCAAAUUUUAAACAGUGAAGCAGAUCUUUGGGGCUGGUGUGUUUCUAGAUGGUUGCAGAUGAGGGGACAUCAGGGGAGGUUGUGAGAGGCCAAAUCUUUUAAAUUCAGAUUCCAUUUUAGAGAAUUUGUACUCAGGUUAACUAACAGGCUGGUACCUAGCAUUGGUUUCCAAGUUACUGCCGCCUCUUCCCCAACAAAACACAAGCCUAGCUCCAGUUUCUAGGCUAAUCCCCAACAAGACCAGCAUCUCCAGGUUAAUCUCCCCCAACUAGUUUGGACUUACCAUGAUAACACCCCAAAGGCCCGCCUUCUAUCUAACAACCACCAAUGCAGAGGGAAAUAGAAGUUAAGUUUAUGGUUUGACUCCCAGCACCACCAAUUAUGCUAAAGGCCAUAGUAGCUCUCCAAUUAAAUGCUCAGCAGGCUAGAAGCGUGCGGGCACACACGCACACACACUCACACGCCACUUGCUGCUUUCUAUAAAACCUUACUCCAUAGAUGUUCGGGGACUCUUCCAUCAAAGCCAUCCUGCUGUGUCAGAGCUGGCAGGUGGGGCGCCCAAUCUUGAGCUUGUGAAUAAAGACCCUGGUGUGAUUGCAUCA